rnacentral:tRNA from 1 species
UGGGGAGUGGCCAAGCUGGUAAGGCGCCUGACUCUGGAUCAGGAGAUCAAAGGUUCGAAUCCUUUCUCCCCAGCCA